AUGGGUAUGCUGGCGCAUCAAGGCUGGAGAUUAAUUCAGGAGCGUGAUUCUUUGUGUGGGAGAGUGUUGCGGGCAAAAUAUUUCCCUGAUGGCAACAUCUUGGGGGGCACCGUGAAGCCGGGAAUCUCUUACACAUGGCGCAGCAUCUUGAGGGGUGUUUCCCUCCUAAAGGAGGGUUUGGUUUGGAGAGUGGGGGAUGGGUCAAAGAUCAAAGUCUGGGAAGACCCAUGGCUGCCUGAAGGGGAUACUCGGAGGCCACGCGCUGUGAGGGGCUCCUCUGUUGUUGAGGCGGUGGCUGAUCGUAUCAACCCUACUACAGGGGCCUGGGACGAGACCAUGAUACAAGGCAUUUUUCCUCCUGAGGAUGUGAAGACUAUUCUGUCCAUUAGCAUUUGCGAUGACAUGGAAGACAAUCUAGCUUGGCACUUUGAUCCAAAGGGCAUUUUUUCUGUAAAGUCUGCCUACAAAGUGGGGGUAAUGCUCAGGGAUAGAAGCUGUGGCAGUGAUGCUGCCUGCUCCAGAGUGAGUACGGGAAAGUGUCAGGUAAAUUUUGAUUGGAACCACAUUUGGAAGAUGAGAGUCCCAAACAAGUUGAAGAUGUUUGUGUGGCGGCUAGCCCACAAUAGCUUGGCGCUCAGGAUGAAAAUUGCGAGGAUUGGGAUCGAGCUGGACACCUCGUGCCCGGUUUGUCACAGGAAAAACGAAGACGGUGGACAUAUCUUUCUAAAGUGUAAACAUGCUAAGGAGUGUUGGGGGAGGCUGGGGCUGGGGGAGACGCGUGAGAAGCUCCUGCCCUGCAGCUCGGCUCACCAUAUGUUUGCGGAGCUCUGGAAGUGUGACGAAAAUAUACAGUUGAAAGCUACAAUCUUUAUGUGGGAAUGGUGGAAUGUAAGGAACAAGGCCAAUGCGGGGGAGGUGGUUCCAAAUGCCCAAACUAUUUGCCACGGAGUGGAAAGUCUGGGAGUGGAUUUCUUGAUGCUCAGGGUGCCAGAUAAGCCACCAAAACCACCUGACCUUAGCAGAUGGGUUAAACCCCCUGAGAACUUUGUGAAAGUGAACUUUGAUGGGGCUUUUUCCCAGAUUAGUGGUUCUGGAGGAUGGGGCUAUGUCAUUCACGAUCAGGCGGGCGUUUUCGUUGCUGCUGGCGCGGGUAAUUCAGUGCACUUGAGGUCUCCUCUGCACUCUGAAGCUGUUGCUUGUCUCGCUGCUAUCGAUGGCGCCAUCAGGGUGGGCGCAAACAAGAUCAUCUUUGAGUCUGAUGCUUCAGUCUUGGUACAAGCGCUCAACAGCUAUGACUAUGACAAGUCAACGAUUGGUGUGCUGGUGAAAGAAGCUAGGAGUUUAAGUAUUUUAAACUUUGUUUCCUUUAAUUUCUCAUUUGGCCGGCGGGCUUGUAACGUGGUUGCUCAUGAGUUGGCAAGGUUUGGUGUGAGUUGUGAGAAUGCAGACUCAUUCUGGGAGGGUGACGCUCCUCCAUGUAUCCUGAACAUUAUUGCUAGCGAUCUGGCUGAAGUUUAA
rnacentral:rRNA from 1 species